rnacentral:rRNA from 1 species
GACGAACGCUGGCGGCGUGCUUAACACAUGCAAGUCGGACGGUGAAGCGCCUUCCUUUUGGGUGAGUGGGGAGGAGUGGCGAACGGGUGGGUAACACGUGAGUAACCUGCCCCCUUCUUCGGUGUAACCGCAUGGAAGGGUGGCUAAUACGGGGUAGUCUGCGUCUAUGGCGUGGUGGGUCUGGGAAAGAUAUGUUGUCGGUGUGGGAGGGUCUCACGGCCUAUCAGCUUGUUGGUGGGGUGAUGGCCUACUAAGGCGGUGACUGGUAGCCGGCCUGAGAGGGCGGAAGGUCAUACGGGGAGUGAGACAGGGACACGAGUACUACGGGAGGCAGCAGUGGGGAACAUUGGACAACGGGGGCAAGUCUGCUGCAGUGAGGGCGCGUGAGGGGUGGAGGUGUUGGGGUUGGGAAAAUGUCUUGCGAGUGAAGAAGGUCUGCCUCGGUUGUGGGUGGGUUGACGGUAGCUGGAUAAGAAGCGCCGGCUAACUCCGUG